GGGCGGUUAGCUCAGUUGGUUAGAGCGCAGCGUUGACAUCGCUGAGGUCACUGGUUCGAAUCCAGUACCGCCCA
rnacentral:tRNA from 1 species